CCUCUUCAACACUCCUAUCAUAUAAUUAAAAAAAUUUAAUGCAAUGAUACGAUUAUUAUAUGAUUAUUUGGAAGGUCAGAAACGAUACGAUUUUUAGGAGAAUCCAGCUGAAUCCUUGGCUAGCAGUCCACAAUCUCAAGCUGUUAGUGAAGGAGCCGGAUUACCUUCUCCCAGCUUAACUGACCGUAGGCCCCCUUCUUCUUUUUUUCCGGGUCUCCCGGGGCCUAGGUUACCCUACUCUUGUAGCUUAGUUCAUCUGUCUAGUGAAUGAGGCGGGUAGCGUGCUAUCUUUUUCUUAAAAAAAAAAUUUAAUGCAACAAAACCAAAUUUAUGAGCUAAACAAACUAGAUUUCGAACUUAUAACCUCAACUAUUUGACAUUAAGUUCUUAGAUAUGAUCGGUAAGUUUACGAAAUGUCUCGUUAGAAAAGUUAUAGGUCAGAAAUGAAAAUUAGAGGGAUGUUUUCCAAUGUUGUCCAAAGAAAUAAGAGUCUGAAAUCAUCUAAUCCCAUGAUUUUGAUUUAAAAAUAGGAGCGUAUAACCAAGAGUCAAAUUCUAAUAAAAAAUAAAGGAUUGUAAUUGUGAAU
rnacentral:lncRNA from 1 species